rnacentral:rRNA from 1 species
GAUGAACGCUGGCGGCGUGCCUAAUACAUGCAAGUCGAGCGAACAGAUGAGGAUCUUGCUCCUCUGACGUUAGCGGCGGACGGGUGAGUAACACGUGUAUAACCUACCUAUAAGACUGGGAUAACUUCGGGAAACCGGAUCUAAUACCGGAUAAUAUAUUGAACCGCAUGGUUCAAUGGUGAAAGACGGUUUUGCUGUCACUUAUAGAUGGAUCCGCGCCGCAUUAGCUAGUUGGUAAGGUAACGGCUUACCAAGGCAACGAUGCGUAGCCGACCUGAGAGGGUGAUCGGCCACACUGGAACUGAGACACGGUCCAGACUCCUGCGGGAGGCAGCAGUAGGGAAUCUUACGCAAUGGGCGAAAGCCUGACGGAGCAACGCCGCGUGAGUGAUGAAGGUCUUCGGAUCGUAAAACUCUGUUAUUAGGGAAGAACAAAUGUGUAAGUAACUAUGCACGUCUUGACGGUACCUAAUCAGAAAGCAACGGCUAACUACGUG